UAUACGACCGUACCGCAAACCGACACUGGUGCGCGAGAUGAGUUUUCUAAGGCGCUUGAGAGAACUCAGGAGAAGGAACUCGGCAAAUUGACACCGUAACUUCGGAAGAAGGUGUGCCCUAUUAGUGUGUAGUGAACAACGAAGCAUGAAUGGGUUGCAAAAAAUCGGUGGCUGCGACUGUUUAUUAAAAACACAGCACUCUGCAAACACGAAAGUGGACUAUAGGGUGUGACGCCUGCCCGGUGCUGGAAGAUUAAAUGAUGGGGUGCAAGCUCUUGAUUGAAGUCCCAGUAAACGGCGGCCGUAACAAUAACGGUCCUAAGGUAGCGAAAUUCCUUGUCGGGUAGUUCCGACCUGCACGAAUGGCGUAACGAUGGCCACACUGUCUCCUCCUGAGACUCAGCGAAGUUGAAAUGUUUGUGAUGAUGCAAUCUCCCCGCGGAAAGACGGAAAGACCCCAUGAACCUUUACUGUAGCUUUGUAUUGGACUUUGAACAGAUCUGUGUAGGAUAGGUGGGAGGCUUUGAAGCAGGGUCGCUAGAUCUUGUGGAGCCAACGUUGAAAUACCACCCUGGUGUGUUUGAGGUUCUAACCUAGGUCCAUUAUCUGGAUCGGGGACAGUGCAUGGUUGGCAGUUUGACUGGGGCGGUCUCCUCCCAAAGCGUAACGGAGGAGUUCGAAGGUACGCUAGUUACGGUCGGACAUCGUGACGAUAGUGCAAUGGCAUAAGCGUGCUUAACUGCGAGACUGACAAGUCGAGCAGAUGCGAAAGCAGGACAUAGUGAUCCGGUGGUUCUGUAUGGAAGGGCCAUCGCUCAACGGAUAAAAGGUACUCUGGGGAUAACAGGCUGAUACCGCCCAAGAGUUCAUAUCGACGGCGGUGUUUGGCACCUCGAUGUCGGCUCAUCUCAUCCUGGGGCUGUAGCCGGUCCCAAGGGUAUGGCUGUUCGCCAUUUAAAGAGGUACGUGAGCUGGGUUUAAAACGUCGUGAGACAGUUUGGUCCCUAUCUUCCGUGGGCGCUGCAGAUUUGAGGAAGCCUGCUCCUAGUACGAGAGGACCGGAGUGGACACACCUCUGGUGUAUCGGUUGUCACGCCAGUGGCAUUGCCGAGUAGCUAAGUGUGGAAGAGAUAACCGCUGAAAGCAUCUAAGCGGGAAACUCGUUUCAAGAUGAGAUCUGCCGGGGCCUUGAGCCCCCUAAAGAGUCGUUCAAGACCAGGACGUUGAUAGGUCAGGUGUGGAAGUG
rnacentral:rRNA from 1 species